UUCUGCCAUGAAGGACGAAAGAACAGUCAACGAGGUCUGCAUUAUAGACGGCUGAGUGAAAAACAAAUGGCUGAAGGAUUUUAACGUCACCUGAACUAGGAAUUCUGCUCCUGUUGGUGACUGGAUUUAAAGGUGAAAGUUAUUUUUGUCCAGUGUUGGUGAAACUGAAUCUAUUUGAAUGAAGGUCCAGUAAUGAGUGGAUCUGUGGACCGAGAGGACCUUGAGAGUGUGGAGAGAGACUGUGUGCUCUAGAGAAGAGCAGAAAACAGGUAAAACUGCCUGUAAAACCAACAUGUCUCAGGAACAGGCCGAUGCCUUGUCAACUGACACGUAAGUAACUUUUAAUUCUUAAUUGGCUCACCUCACACAGGAUGGGAAAGUGUAACGUAUGUCAGCCUCUGUCAGCACUGCGCAGCUCCUUCACUGACUGGCUGCUUCACCCGGUGUGUGAAGGAGUGAUACCGCAGGUCCUUCCUUCCUGCCGCUGUCAGACUGCACAACCAACACUGCUCCCAGUAGACCACACAUACCAAAAACUGACAAUUCCUCAUUCAUUUAUUAAUUCAUGUGCAAUAUAAAUCCAAUGUAUACACUGUGCAAUAUAAUUAAUCUGUUCAAUCCACUGGGCAAUAUUAAAAACCAUUCAGUCCGAAUAUAUCAUACUUUAGUUUUAUUGUUUUUUUAAAUUGUUUUUCACAUAUUUAUUAUAUAUUACAUUUACUGUGUGAUUACGUAUUUAUUAUACUUGUUUUUCUACUUAUGCCUCUUGUUUGUUAAUUUGCACUAUCCGCUAUCCUGCUGUAAUCCUGCAAAUUUCCCCGCUGUGGGACUAAUAAAGGAUUAUAUUAUCUUAUCCUAAAUAUGUGGUGAUUCCAUCCACCUCUGUUGUUGUUGACACAGUCAAAGUUGGGUCUUAAAUUAAUUUAACCUCCCAUGUAAAGACUGAUAUUAAACUUAUUACUCCUCAUCUGUGUGCAUAGAUCCACUGAUAGCAGCAAUACCAUUAAGAAUUGCUCUGAAAUGUUGCUGUUUAAAAUGCUGGUGUGCCUGGGCGUUAAAAUCGUUUAAUUGUAAUCAUAAUCUGUGUUAAUAAGCUUACGCUUAAUAGUUUUUCGAAGUUAACCAACCCUCGUUUUAAAUUAUCUUUAUUUGAUAUUCAGAGCAUUAAUAAAGCAACUAUUUGUUAUG